rnacentral:rRNA from 1 species
UGGGGAAUAUUGGACAAUGGGCGAAAGCCUGAUCCAGCCAUGCCGCGUGUGUGAAGAAGGUCUUCGGAUUGUAAAGCACUUUAAGUUGGGAGGAAGGGCAGUAAGCGAAUACCUUGCUGUUUUGACGUUACCGACAGAAUAAGCACCGGCUAACUCUGUGCCAGCAGCCGCGGUAAUACAGAGGGUGCAAGCGUUAAUCGGAAUUACUGGGCGUAAAGCGCGCGUAGGUGGUUCGUUAAGUUGAAUGUGAAAGCCCCGGGCUCAACCUGGGAACUGCAUCCAAAACUGGCGAGCUGGAGUAGGGCAGAGGGUGGUGGAAUUUCCUGUGUAGCGGUGAAAUGCGUAGAUAUAGGAGGGAACACCAGUGGCGAAGGCGACCACCUGGGCUCAUACUGACACUGGGGUGCGAAAGCGUGGGGAGCAAACAGG